AAUAGGCUUGAAACACAAUCGAAAGCCUUCUUUAAGAUGCCCUAGAAGGAGUUGAAUCCCUAGGACUACUCGGGCAGAAUAAAAAAGAAACAACCCCCUUCCAACCAUGAGCUGAAGAGAGGCCACCCUAAUCAACCAACAACACUUCCAAUUAGAAAAGUACCAUCAGCCAAAGGGAUACUCUUUGAAAAUGAAAGAGCUCGGAAGAGCUCCACAGUAGGCCGGACACUAUGCAAAUCUAGGAGA
rnacentral:lncRNA from 1 species